rnacentral:rRNA from 1 species
UGGGGAAUAUUGCGCAAUGGGGGGAACCCUGACGCAGCCAUGCCGCGUGAAUGAAGAAGGCCUUAGGGUUGUAAAGUUCUUUCGGUAUUGAGGAAGGUUGAUGUGUUAAUAGCACAUCAAAUUGACGUUAAAUACAGAAGAAGCACCGGCUAACUCCGUGCCAGCAGCCGCGGUAAUACGGAGGGUGCGAGCGUUAAUCGGAAUAACUGGGCGUAAAGGGCACGCAGGCGGUUAUUUAAGUGAGGUGUGAAAGCCCCAGGCUUAACCUGGGAAUUGCAUUUCAGACUGGGUAACUAGAGUACUUUAGGGAGGGGUAGAAUUCCACGUGUAGCGGUGAAAUGCGUAGAGAUGUGGAGGAAUACCGAAGGCGAAGGCAGCCCCUUGGGAAUGUACUGACGCUCAUGUGCGAAAGCGUGGGGAGCAAACAGGAUUAGAUACCCUGGUAGUCCACGCUGUAAACGCUGUCGAUUUGGGGGUUGGGGUUUAACUCUGGCGCCCGUAGCUAACGUGAUAAAUCGACCGCCUGGGGAGUACGGCCGCAAGGUUA